rnacentral:lncRNA from 1 species
AUGGACAGUAUUGAUUACGUUUUUGGAGAUGAAAUUUUUAGUAUAAUUUUUGAAUUUCUAUAGUGAAAACCUGUAAAGUUUGCAUUAAUUUUUAUCACUAAAACUCGUUAGAUUUUCCUCCAUUGCAUUUUCUAUGUUUAUUUAACUUUCUUUCUCCUUAUUCUCUCAUUUUACUGAUCAUCAUUAAGCCACUCUUCUUUCUCUCUUUUUUUCCAUCUAUUUCUUU